CUGAAGCAGGAAAGCAAGGAGGUACAGCUUGAAUGGGCACUGAUCCAGAAAUAUUUGGUUGACUGCAACAAGAAUGAUAAAGACCAGGAACCUCAGGACCCAGAAUCAUCUGGUCUCAGAAAGUGCAAGAGAGCUGGAACUGGACACACACCAGUAAGAGAGCUUCCUGAGGAAUAAGUUGCUUUCUCAGGAGUCCCUGAUGACAAACAUCCUGAAUGGUAACAACAUAUUUUAGAUGAAUAUUCUUCCUCAUAGUUAAUUAGUCAUUUCUUAAAGACCCUUAAUUUAUAUAUCACUAAGCCAGCAUGACUGAUUGAGGUCUUACUCCCUUUCUUUUUCAGAAAACACGACUUGAGAGACAACUUGGGAGACCACCUUUCAUUAUGUGUGCUAGAGGAGAAACAGCAAUACAUCUGUGCUUCUAAAUAUUCCUAAAUGUUCUUG
ensembl:lncRNA